rnacentral:rRNA from 1 species
UAGGGAAUCUUCGGCAAUGGACGAAAGUCUGACCGAGCAACGCCGCGUGAGUGAAGAAGGUUUUCGGAUCGUAAAACUCUGUUGUUAGAGAAGAACAAGGACGUUAGUAACUGAACGUCCCCUGACGGUAUCUAACCAGAAAGCCACGGCUAACUACGUGCCAGCAGCCGCGGUAAUACGUAGGUGGCAAGCGUUGUCCGGAUUUAUUGGGUGUAAAGCGAGCGCAGGCGGUUUCUUAAGUCUGAUGUGAAAGCCCCCGGCUCAACCGGGGAGGGUCAUUGGAAACUGGGAGACUUGAGUGCAGAAGAGGAGAGUGGAAUUCCAUGUGUAGUGGUGAAAUGCGUAGAUAUAUGGAGGAACACCAGUGGCGAAGGCGGCUCUCUGGUCUGUAACUGACGCUGAGGCUCGAAAGCGUGGGGAGCAAACAGG